CUGCAGUUCGACGACCGUAAUAUUCGGUACCCUCAUCAGAGGGCUCUGUCCGGAGAAGAGGAUCGGGGACGCCGCCAACCUGUUUGAGAUAAUGCCUGAGAUGGGUUGCGUACUUGAUCUGAUCACAUACAAUAUUUUCAUCAAGGGUCUUUGCGAUAGCGGGAACACGGGCAGGGCACUUUGUGUCUUCAAACUCUUCGAAUAAAUGAUUUGUGAAGGUGUUGCACCAGAUGCUGUAACUUAUGGUGCGAUCAUCAGUGGCCUCUGCAAAGAGGGAUUUUUGGAGAAGGCUUUCAAGAUAUUUCAAGAAAUGGUUGCUCUAGGGUGUAUGCCAAGUGUUUUGACAUACAGUGUACUAAUCAGUGCCCAUUGCAAAGUCGGUGCUGUGAGUAAGGCCUUUGAAAUGUUUCAGCAAAUGGUUGUUACAGGUGUCGAGCCAGACAUCGUCACGUAUACUUCUCUUAUUCAUGGAGAUUCUAGUUUAGGCCAUUGGAUUCUUACAGGAGAUGUUGAAUUGAGGUCUUAUACCAAACACCGUGACAUACAACACUUUAAUGAAUCCAAUGAUUGUGAGAGGUAACGAGCCUAACAUUAGGUCCUAUAAUUUAUUAAUGCACGAAUAUGUUUUGGAAGGUCACCUUAAUGAUGCAGCAAAAGUUGUUAAUUCCAUGGUGCAAGAGGGACUUGAGCUCAAUGUUCAUAGUUAUGGAAUCCUGAUUAGUGCAUGUUGUAAGAAUGGGAGAAUGAAUGAGGCCAUGUCUUUGUUUAAUGAAAUGUUAGGUGAAGGAGUGACACCUAAUGUUGUUAUUUACAGUACUAUCUUCGACAGAUAUUGCAAAAUUGGGCAACUUUCAGAAGAUCGUACACUCUUCAAUGACAUGAUUGAUCAAGGGCUGAAACCAGGUGUCUACAGUUAUAGUUCGUUGAUCUGGGGCAAUUGUAAAUCUGGUGAGUGGAAAGAAGUCAAUAAUUUACUUGAACAGAUGAAAGAUCAAGGAGUUUAUCCAGAUGAUGUGUCUUUUAACAUAUUAAUUGAUGCUCUAUGUAAAGAUGAGAAAGCCAACAAAGCACAAAAGCUAGUGGGUAUGAUGACUCAAGGAGGUGUUUAGCGUGAUACAGUUAUAACAUAUUUAUUAAUGGAUAUUGUUUAGAGAAAAGAAUUGAUAAAGCUGCCAAAUAUUUGAUUCUAUGGUUUUGAUUGGUUUUUUGGCCAAUGUUGCUACUUACAGUACAUUGAUCAGUGGCUUUUGUGAGUUUGGAAGCAGAUGAGGCUUUAGGAUUUCUUGGUGAAAUGAACCAUGAGGUAUUGAAACCCACAGUGAUAUCUUAUAACAGUGUUAGAUGGAUUGUAUCAGGUGGGGAUGGUUGUGCAAAAUAUUGCAUAAGAAGAUGCUUGUAGCAAAGUCAGCACGGACAUCGCAACCUACUACAUAACAAUGGAUGGACUAUGUUAAGAUCAAUAAUCAAAGAUAGCUUGUCUCAGAAAAACCUCUUGAUGGGAACCUUCGACCUUUUUUUUGCGAAGGUGAGAUUUGAGCCUAUGACCUUGCGAUAAACUGUCAAGAUCUCAACUUGUUGACACAUUAAAAAAAAUCUUUGACGUCAUAAUGAGUGAACUUUUAGACUGAUAAAAUUGGUGCAGUAAGAGAUAUUUCCAGUGCUAUUCUCAUGGAAGACUUGAAGCCAGAUGUGAUAGCAUACACCUUGUCGUUAAAGCUUUCCCUAAAGAAGUGUCACUGGAUGAGGCUAAUGAGUUGGCUUUAUCAAUGCAGUAAAUGGUUGUUCCUCACAUUCUGCCAUGCUAAAUGCAAUUAUUCGAAGAUUACCUGAGAAAAAGAGGUGAUGAAAACAAUUUCUGUA